rnacentral:snRNA from 1 species
AGCUUUGCGCAGUGGCAGUAUCGUAGCCAAUGAGGUUUAUUCGAGGCGCGAUUAUUGCUAAUUGAAAUUACCAUCAUGUUUAGCAAAAGCAACCACCCUGAAACUACUAAUAAUGGUAAUAAUAUGUGUUUGUAGACA